UACGUAGGCAGCAAGCGUUGUUCGGAGUUACUGGGCGUAAAGAGUAUGUAGGCGGUUGGGUAAGUUUGGUGUGAAAUCUCCCGGCUUAACUGGGAGGGUGCGCUAAAGACUGCCUGGCUCGAGUGUGGGAGAGGAAAGCGGAAUUCCUGGUGUAGCGGUGAAAUGCGUAGAUAUCAGGAGGAACACCUGCGGUGUAGACGGCUUUCUGGACCAUAACUGACGCUGAGAUACGAAAGCGUGGGUAGCAAACGGG
rnacentral:rRNA from 1 species